CCAAUGUGGAUAUUCCUGGGAAGUCACUCUCCCUGGACUCUGUCCAGGUGGUGUACAGGGAAUAAGGCUCUGCCCCAUGAAGUACAGUCCCUUUCCACGACGGAGAUGAAGCCAGGACUUGAAUCUGUGCCUGCUUAUUCCUACAGCUUCUCAGAAUCCUCUGGACUAUGACCGAGGACACAAACCGUGCAGGAAACCACU
ensembl:snoRNA SNORA73 Small nucleolar RNA SNORA73 family